CGUGAGGGAAAGGCGAAAAGAACCCCGGCGAGGGGAGUGAAAAAGAACCUGAAACCGUGUACGUACAAGCAGUGGGAGCCUCUUUUAUGGGGUGACUGCGUACCUUUUGUAUAAUGGGUCAGCGACUUAUAUUCUGUAGCAAGGUUAACCGAAUAGGGGAGCCGAAGGGAAACCGAGUCUUAACUGGGCGUUAAGUUGCAGGGUAUAGACCCGAAACCCGGUGAUCUAGCCAUGGGCAGGUUGAAGGUUGGGUAACACUAACUGGAGGACCGAACCGACUAAUGUUGAAAAAUUAGCGGAUGACUUGUGGCUGGGGGUGAAAGGCCAAUCAAACCGGGAGAUAGCUGGUUCUCCCCGAAAGCUAUUUAGGUAGCGCCUCGUGAAUUCAUCUCCGGGGGUAGAGCACUGUUUCGGCAAGGGGGUCAUCCCGACUUACCAACCCGAUGCAAACUGCGAAUACCGGAGAAUGUUAUCACGGGAGACACACGGCGGGUGCUAACGUCCGUCGUGAAGAGGGAAACAACCCAGACCGCCAGCUAAGGUCCCAAAGUCAUGGUUAAGUGGGAAACGAUGUGGGAAGGCCCAGACAGCCAGGAUGUUGGCUUAGAAGCAGCCAUCAUUUAAAGAAAGCGUAAUAGCUCACUGGUCGAGUCGGCCUGCGCGGAAGAUGUAACGGGGCUAAACCAUGCACCGAAGCUGCGGCAGCGACGCUUAUGCGUUGUUGGGUAGGGGAGCGUUCUGUAAGCCUGUGAAGGUGUGCUGUGAGGCAUGCUGGAGGUAUCAGAAGUGCGAAUGCUGACAUAAGUAACGAUAAAGCGGGUGAAAAGCCCGCUCGCCGGAAGACCAAGGGUUCCUGUCCAACGUUAAUCGGGGCAGGGUGAGUCGACCCCUAAGGCGAGGCCGAAAGGCGUAGUCGAUGGGAAACAGGUUAAUAUUCCUGUACUUGGUGUUACUGCGAAGGGGGGACGGAGAAGGCUAUGUUGGCCGGGCGACGGUUGUCCCGGUUUAAGCGUGUAGGCUGGUUUUCCAGGCAAAUCCGGAAAAUCAAGGCUGAGGCGUGAUGACGAGGCACUACGGUGCUGAAGCAACAAAUGCCCUGCUUCCAGGAAAAGCCUCUAAGCAUCAGGUAACAUCAAAUCGUACCCCAAACCGACACAGGUGGUCAGGUAGAGAAUACCAAGGCGCUUGAGAGAACUCGGGUGAAGGAACUAGGCAAAAUGGUGCCGUAACUUCGGGAGAAGGCACGCUGAUAUGUAGGUGAAGUCCCUUGCGGAUGGAGCUGAAAUCAGUCGAAGAUACCAGCUGGCUGCAACUGUUUAUUAAAAACACAGCACUGUGCAAACACGAAAGUGGACGUAUACGGUGUGACGCCUGCCCGGUGCCGGAAGGUUAAUUGAUGGGGUCAGCGCAAGCGAAGCUCUUGAUCGAAGCCCCGGUAAACGGCGGCCGUAACUAUAACGGUCCUAAGGUAGCGAAAUUCCUUGUCGGGUAAGUUCCGACCUGCACGAAUGGCGUAAUGAUGGCCAGGCUGUCUCCACCCGAGACUCAGUGAAAUUGAACUCGCUGUGAAGAUGCAGUGUACCCGCGGCAAGACGGAAAGACCCCGUGAACCUUUACUAUAGCUUGACACUGAACAUUGAGCCUUGAUG
rnacentral:rRNA from 1 species